GAGAUGGAGCAGGAUGGAGUGGCCUGGCUGAGCCAUGGCCCCGCCGGCAGGAGCUGCGGGGCGGACAGCAGAGCGAAGAGCGUGGCCGUGAAUGUGUCAUUCUCCUGACAGAGGAUCCUGGCAAAACCAUGGCUUGGUGCAGGGGACAGCACACCGGGGGUGAGGCAGCAGCAGACACCUGAAUGGAGACUCCUCGUGUUUGCAGCCUGGUCACAGGAGUGACUGAGACCUGAGAUCUCCCUGACAUCCUCUCUGGCCUCGUUUGUGCCACACCUGCUCCCUUCCGCUCAUGGAGACUCCUACACUGCACAGGACACUGGAAAAGCACUGGGAGAUGGCUGGAGGAAGAAGGGGGCUUCCUGGAAAACAGUCUCUAAACCAGGCCCUUCCCUGUGCCCUGGCUUUUCUGGGGCUCAUUAACAUCAGUGCUAUGUGCUCAUAUCUCAAUUCUCCAGGAUUAAUUAAAAAUCCACAGACAGUGCCAUGCCCAGGGGCUUCGCAAUUAUGUCAGCAGGCUUUGGCUGAGGCCCUUAUGUUUGUAAUAAACAUGACAUGCUUUUAA